rnacentral:rRNA from 1 species
GUUUACGGCCAUAUCACGUUGAAAGCAUCGGUUCUCGUCUGAUCACUGAAGUUAGGCACCAUCGAGCCUAGUUAGUACAUUCCGCUUGGGAAACCUAGAUGUUGUAAGCA